rnacentral:rRNA from 1 species
UACGUAGGGAGCAAGCGUUGUCCGGAAUUACUGGGCGUAAAGGGUGCGUAGGCGGUUUGGAAAGUCAGAUGUGAAAUCCCCGGGCUUAACUCGGGUGUUGCAUUUGAAACUUCCAGACUUGAGUGCAGGAGAGGAAAGCGGAAUUCCUAGUGUAGCGGUGAAAUGCGUAGAUAUUAGGAGGAACACCAGUGGCGAAGGCGGCUUUCUGGACUGUAACUGACGCUGAGGCACGAAAGCGUGGGGAGCAAGCAGGAUUAGAUACCCUGGUAGUCCACGCUGUAAACGAUGGAUACUAGGUGUGGGGGAGAUACAACCUCCGUGCCGGAGCAAACGCAAUAAGUAUCCCGCCUGGGGAGUACGGUCGCAAGGCUGAA